AACGAACGCUGGCGGCAGGCUUAACACAUGCAAGUCGAGCGCCCCGCAAGGGGAGCGGCAGACGGGUGAGUAACGCGUGGGAAUCUACCCAUCUCUACGGAAUAACGCAUGGAAACGUGUGCUAAUGCCGUAUACGUCCUUCGGGAGAAAGAUUUAUCGGAGAUGGAUGAGCCCGCGUUGGAUUAGCUAGUUGGUGGGGUAAAGGCCUACCAAGGCGACGAUCCAUAGCUGGUCUGAGAGGAUGAUCAGCCACACUGGGACUGAGACACGGCCCAGACUCCUACGGGAGGCAGCAGUGGGGAGUAUUGGACAAUGGGCGCAAGCCUGAUCCAGCCAUGCCGCGUGAGUGAUGAAGGCCCUAGGGUUGUAAAGCUCUUUCACCGGUGAAGAUAAUGACGGUAACCGGAGAAGAAGCCCCGGCUAACUUCGUGCCAGCCGCCGCAGUAAUAC
rnacentral:rRNA from 1 species